rnacentral:rRNA from 1 species
GACGAACGCUGGCGGCGUGCCUAAUACAUGCAAGUUGAGCGCUGAAGGUUGGUACUUGUACCAACUGGAUGAGCAGCGAACGGGUGAGUAACGCGUGGGUAAUCUGCCUUUGAGCGGGGGACAACAUUUGGAAACGAAUGCUAAUACCGCAUAAAAACUUUAAACACAAGUUUUAAGUUUGAAAGAUGCAAUUGCAUCACUCAAAGAUGAUCCCGCGUUGUAUUAGCUAGUUGGUGAGGUAAAGGCUCACCAAGGCGAUGAUACAUAGCCGACCUGAGAGGGUGAUCGGCCACAUUGGGACUGAGACACGGCCCAAACGCCUACGGGAGGCAGCAGUAGGGAAUCUUCGGCAAUGGACGAAAGUCUGACCGAGCAACGCCGCGGGAGUGAAGAAGGUUUUCGGAUCGUAAAACUCUGUUGGUAGAGAAGAACGUUGGUGAGAGUGGAAAGCUCAUCAAGUGACGGUAACUACCCAGAAAGGGACGGCUAACUACGUG